AUACGUAGGGUGCGAGCGUUAAUCGGAAUUACUGGGCGUAAAGCGUGCGCAGGCGGUUUUGUAAGACAGUGGUGAAAUUCCCGGGCUCAACCUGGGAAAUGCCAUUGUGAAUGCAAGGCUGGAGUGGGGCAGCGGGGGAUGGAAUUCCGCGUGUCGCAGUGAACUGCGUAGAUAUGCGGAGGAACACCGAUGGCGAAGGCAAUCCCCUGGGCCUGCACUGACGCUCAUGCACGAAAGCGUGGGGAGCAAACAGGAUUAGAUACCCUGGUAGUCCACGCCCUAAACGAUGUCAACUGGUUGUUGGGAAUUUAUUUUCUCAGUAACGAAGCUAACGCGUGAAGUUGACCGCCUGGGGAGUACGGCCGCAAGGUUAAAACUCAAAGGAAUUGACGGGG
rnacentral:rRNA from 1 species